UACGGGGGGGGUAAGCGUUGUUCGGAAUUACUGGGCGUAAAGGGCUCGUAGGCGGCCAACUAAGUCAUACGUGAAAUCCCUCAGCUUAACUGGGGAACUGCGUGUGAUACUGGAUGGCUUGGAUUUGGGAGAGGGAUGCGGAAUUCCAGGUGUAGCGGUGAAAUGCGUAGAUAUCUGGAGGAACACCGGUGGCGAAGGCGGCAUCCUGGACCAACAUUGACGCUGAACGGCGAAAGCUAGGGGAGCAAACGGG
rnacentral:rRNA from 1 species